GCCGGUGUGGCGGAAUGGUAGACGCGACGGACUUAAAAUCCGUUGUCCGCAAGGACGUGGGGGUUCGAGUCCCUUCACCGGCA
rnacentral:tRNA from 1 species